rnacentral:rRNA from 1 species
UGGGGAAUCUUGGACAAUGGGGGCAACCCUGAUCCAGCGAUGCCGCGUGAGCGAAGAAGGCCUUAGGGUUGUAAAGCUCUUUCGCCCGCGACGAUGAUGACGGUAGCGGGCGAAGAAGCCCCGGCUAACUCCGUGCCAGCAGCCGCGGUAAUACGGAGGGGGCUAGCGUUGUCCGGAAUUACUGGGCGUAAAGCGCGCGUAAGCGGUCCACCAAGUCGGGGGUGAAAGCCCGGGGCUCAACCCCGGAAUGUCCUCCGAGACUGGUGGACUGGAGUUCGGGAGAGGAGAGCGGAAUUCCCAGUGUAGAGGUGAAAUUCGUAGAUAUUGGGAAGAACACCGGUGGCGAAGGCGGCUCUCUGGCCCGCAACUGACGCUGAGGCGCGAAAGCGUGGGGAGCAA